GAGCGUCUUGUGUCGAAAGUAUCUAUUAAAGUGCCGUGAUCUUUAUGCCGUAUUAUGACAUGACGGUUACUCGCUGUCGAGCUCGUUUUCGCGAGCGUGUGUCUCGGAGUGUGCAGCAAGGGAUCGUGAAACAAGAGCGAGAACGAGGACGACGACGAAAAGCAUAACAUACACCGAGCGUUUUCUACCGGCGAGUGUCUACCAAAAUGCCGCGAUCGUCGUAUUACAACAGUUCGUUCUCGAGUGUUUUCGCGAAUGUGUUUGUGAGUGUGCUGCGAACUUGGACAAGGGCAAGGACGAGGACGAGGACGAGGAUGAGAACGAAAGUUCGCCCUCGAUUGCGGUUUUACGAGUGUUGUGUUUUAUGAGUGUGCAGCGAGGGAAUUUAAGACAAGGACAACGACGACGAGAACGGAGACGAGGACGAGGUCUAGGAGGCAUCAGCUAGGUUCAACGGCGGUGCAUCGUAUCGGUCAAUGGUAUCUUCAAUGGUAUCAAUGGUAUCUUCGGAGAGGCAUAGUUUAAUACAACGGGACAUAGUCGCACGGAGUUUGGCGCAACUUCGUUAUACACGCAUAUAUACGACGGGUUACACGUCAAAUAUGCGUGCAAAUUGGAUCAGCAGAUCGGUUUGAGAAGCCCGUCGAAAUUAAUAUCCGUUCCGUUAGUUGCCAGAGAUCCGAUACGAAGGGCUUAGAAUGCAUGAUCACUUGGUGGUGUAGACGCCUGCCCGCAAGUACAGAUUAGAUCAAUGCGAUGUGUUGUGCUUGAAUACAGUAUACAUUAGGUACACGUAUCGAGCCUUAACGCAGCACAUUCACGACGAUAUCAAUCAACACGCUGCCCGAUGACGAAUCUUGCGAAUGCCUAUUGGUGCGUGCUUUGACUCUCAACUUGGUCGCCGCGCGAUAUUUCAAAUGACAAGAACUGUUUGAGAAAUCCGAGUAUCUUAUCGCGAAUAUAGCACUGAAGACACGAUCAAAUAACGAUUACGCGUCAACGACGGAGUGUUGUUGACGCAUUAUGUGUCCGCAUGCAUAUCUCGCACCGGAAUUUACGUCAUAGGCCAAACAUCGUCGCGCGAAAUAAGAUGAGAUACAUUCGCUCUGCAAACGCUCACAAGCGAUUUCGUCGGUACCCCUUCAGUACUCGCGCAACAUACGGCUACACAAUUAG
rnacentral:lncRNA from 13 species